AUUAGACUACCCCCGUAGUCCUAGCCGUAAACGAUACUCGCUAGGUGUCGGCCACGGUGCGACCGUUGUCGGUGCCGUAGGGAAGCCGUGAAGCGAGCCACCUGGGAGUACGGCCGCAAGGCUGAAACUUAAAGGAAUUGGCGGGGGAGCACAACAACGGGUGGAGCUUGCGGUUUAAUUGGAUUCAACGCCGGAAAUCUUACCGGGACCGACAGCAACAUGAAGGCCAAGCUGAAGACUUUGCCGGAUUAGCUG
rnacentral:rRNA from 1 species